rnacentral:rRNA from 1 species
AUUGAACGCUGGCGGCAGGCCUAACACAUGCAAGUCGAACGAGUGGCGGACGGGUGAGUAAUUUCUGGGAAACUGCCCGAUGGAGGGGGAUAACUACUGGAAACGGUAGCUAAUACCGCAUACCAUCGGAUGUGCCCAGAUGGGAUUAGCUAGUAGGUGGGGUAACGGCUCACCUAGGCGACGAUCCCUAGCUGGUCUGAGAGGAUGACCACCCACACGGGAACGGGAACACGUUCCAGACUCCUACGGGGGGCAGCAGGGGGGAGUAUGGAACAAUGGGGGCAACCCUGAUGCAGCCAUGCGGCGUGUAUGAAGAGGGCCUUCGGGUUGUAAAGUACUUUCAGCGAGGAGGCUUUACUCGCAGAGGAAGCACCGGCUAACUCCUUGCCAGCAGCGGCGGUAAUU